rfam:Streptomycetaceae bacterium MP113-05 genomic scaffold scaffold00024, whole genome shotgun sequence.
CUUCACCGAGCCGAGCCACAGCGGCCGGUCCGCGUCGCGGUUCUGCCCGUAGGUGGCGAGGACGGCCUGCGCCUC